rnacentral:rRNA from 1 species
GACGAACGCUGGCGGCGUGCUUAACACAUGCAAGUCGAACGGAAAGGCCCUGCUUUUGUGGGGUGCUCGAGUGGCGAACGGGGGAGUAACACGUGAGUAACCUGCCCUUGACUUUGGGAUAACUUCAGGAAACUGGGGCUAAUACCGGAUAGGAGCUCCUGCUGCAUGGUGGGGGUUGGAAAGUUUCGGCGGUUGGGGAUGGACUCGCGGCUUAUCAGCUUGUUGGUGGGGUAGUGGCUUACCAAGGCUUUGACGGGUAGCCGGCCUGAGAGGGUGAACGGCCACAUUGGGACUGAGAUACGGCCCAGACUCCUACGGGAGGCAGCAGUGGGGAAUAUUGCACAAUGGGCGGAAGCCUGAUGCAGCAACGCCGCGUGCGGGAUGACGGCCUUCGGGUUGUAAACCGCUUUCGCCUGUGACGAAGCGUGAGUGACGGUAAUGGGUAAAGAAGCACCGGCUAACUACGUG